rnacentral:lncRNA from 1 species
UAAUACCCAUAAGUACUUAUUUGAACUUACUCCUUGUGUGAUUGUGGAACAUUUAUGGGAAGUCCUUAUUUGUGCAUUAAUAUAGGCUUUUAAUGCUGCAAUUUGGAAACAGUUUAUUUAUAGUUAUCUGUACCUAGUUCAAAACUACAGUUCAUUCAUUCCAAGGGAUGCUGUUGGACAUAGAGAGAUUGUAUGAUGAGGUUUGUGCUCAGAAAGCUAGAGCUAAAUGUUUUGAAAAUAUAGAUAUACUUUAUACAAAACCACAGAUUCCUUUGUCAAGAAUAGACUUGUGUAAUAGAAACCUUUUCAUACACAUAUAGUCAAUAUUUGCUUGUGAUAGGAGAUGGAAAACUGUUUUAACUUCUCUAACUGCCUUGCUUAGUGUCAUACUGUUCAUUACAGGAGCAAAAUGUUUUCCAUUCUGCAGCUUUUUCAUACUAAAACAACUCUCAACCUUCCUUUCAGGUCAUGAAACACCUGAGAUAGUCAAAAGAAGAAUAAAUUAGUAUCCUGGACUUUCAGGUUUCUGUCCAAGAGCUGGUCACACGGUGGCUCAUGGUUUGAACUUAGGAAGGAAAAGCAAAGAGGAAAGGCUGGAAAGCUUAGAGAACAAUGUGGGCCACCAUUCUGUUAGCUCCAGCCACCUCACAAUAGUGCCAAAGCUGAUGACCAAGACUUUGACACAUGUGCUCGUGUCAUAAAAGCCUUGUCCUCAGCCUCUUUCCUUAUUUUCUUCAGAAUUUACUAUGAUAAUUUAUUACUGCUCAGAUUCCUAUUCCUCUCAUUGGAGACAACUUUUCGAUUUCUCUUUGUAAGCACUGAGUUAUUGAGACAAAUGAUAUAUAGUAUGUCUUCACACUUUGUUCCAUUCACACUUGGACUUUCUUGCUCCUGUCCAGUAUUUUAGAAGUAGAUAGCUUCCUUGCUAUGUGAACCUUCAUCUGAAAUUUCUUCUCAUGGUAUAACUCCUCUCAGCUUUGUUCUCUCCCCAGCAGCCCCUGCCUUGCUAUAAAUAUGUUCCCAAAUCUCCUUAAACAAGAAGGCACCUCUCCUGCAUCUCCUCAUCCUUCUUUCCAUUCUUGCGGAAUUUCUUGAAAAUGUGAUCCACGUUUCCUCUCUACCCUGCUGCUCUCAUCUCUUCUCUGAAACCACCUGGCUGGAUCCACCUUGACUAUUCAGAUGCCAAGACUACUGAUCCGUUGUUUCCAGUCUUGCCCCAUCUGACUUACCUGCAACAUCAGUAAGUGUGGAGCCCACUGCCAUAUUGAAGUCUCUUCUCUUGAUCUCCUCUGUGCUACCUCUCCCUCUGGGCUUUCCUCUUUCCUGGCUCAUCUCUAUCCCUUUUCAUGGCUGCCCAUCCCUGCUGUUCCUUCUCUGCCAGCUUUUCUUUUCUUUCUCUUUACAUCCUCUCCCAAGGUCAUUGCAUUUUGAGGUCUUACUAAAAGAUACCCAAGUUUUUCAGCUGAAUUCUGUUGCAUAGGUGGAAUGCCACAGGUGGGAUUUGUGAUAGCUUCUGCUUCCCCAGCAGUCUUGUAAAAAUCUACCCUGGGAUCACCAUUUCUAACAACCCUUCUUGACAGUCCUUUGUCCCUUGCUGCAGUUUAUCCACUUAUGUUGUUGCUGGACACUUUUCCUUUGUAUUUCCAAUAACUACUCUGACAGUCCUACAGUCAGUGCUGAAAAUCUCAGACAAAUUUUGUUAUACUACUCUCAUCAGAUAGUAUGAAGGAUAUGCUAUUUAGACUAAAAGCAACCUCGGCUGUCUUUUAUAUAUUGUUUAAUUUAUAUAAAAUUCAUUAUACGUGAAAUGCUUUGUGACAGUCACUACAUUUACAGUGCUGCUUAAACAGCACUCCUAUGUUGCUCUACCACACUCUGAACUUUCUAGUGGAAACCCACAUGACCCUGAAAAUGUUCUUUCCCCAUUCUCUUCUCCCUUCAGCCUUGACAUCCAUACUCAGUUUUCUCUUUCUGGGUAUUUGGUUAUUGUGGAUGGAGUUAUAUUAAUUCAGAGCUUCAAAUGUGUUAACUACCUCUCAAUGCCACUGAGAUAUACUCCCAGCCCAAACUGGCAAGUUUAAACUCUGUCAUUUGUGGAUUUAAUAGGAAAGGACUUAAGAUGUCCAUAAAUCCACUAAAAGAGUAGGGUUGUUUCCUUUUCCUCCACUGAAAUGCCUUUGAACCUUCACAUAGGUUUUUGUCAAAGGACAUAUUUGCGUGCGGGCCUGCGUGCGUGCAUGCAUGCAUGUGUGUUCUUUUUGUAAGUUGACUUGCUCAUUAACAGUGUUUUAAAUCCAGUACUCAAGCGUGGCUUUUGCAAUGAUUUACAAACCUUCAGAGCAACAGAAAAAUUUAGUUGUUUUAUUUCUGUGUACUCUGCCUGCCUGUUUGAACUACGGUAAGAAAUGGUUAACCUUGGGUUCUGUGGAUUUUAUCCUAGAUAUUCUUAAUUUUUUGGCUAACAUCCACUUAUUAGUGAGUACAUACCAUGAGUUACCUUGCUCAGGAUGAUAUUUUCCAUUUCCACCCAUUUGCCUGCAAAACUCAUGAUGUCCUCCUUCUUAAUAGCUGAGUAGUAUUCCAUUGUGUAAAUGAACCACUUUUCUGUAUUCAUUCUUUUGUUAUGGGACAUGUAGGUUGUUUCCCGCUUCUAGCUAUCACAGAUAAGGCCGCUAUGAACAUAGUGGAGUACAUGUCCCUGUGGUAUGGUUGGGCAUCUUUUGGGUAUAUGCCCAAGAGUGGUAUAACUGGGUUUUCACAAUUUAACAUUAAGAGUCAGUCUUUCAAAAUUUUAAUAAAUGACACUUUUGAACCUUUUAAUGAGGGAGUCUUCCUAUAAUAUCUUUGAAACACCAUUGUGCCAAUUGAUUAUGAUUGGGGGUGAAUUUGGAAUAUGCGUGAUUGAGAAUAGAUUGACUUCAAGAUAGUCUAUUGUAAUUUAUAUUAAGGUGUUAUAUUAAAUUGUUAGCCUCAGACUAAUGUAUCAAUACUAGUAAAUAGUAAAAGUUAUUAAUAGUUUUUGAUUAUGUUGUUUUUAACUUAUACAUGAUGAAUUGUUUAAAAGUGCAUGCAAAUGGUAUAUCUUAUAAAUAUGUAUUAUUCUGACUUCGGAGUAUGCCGAUGAGCAUGUAUUAUGUGUUAUGUUCCUGUGUUGGAAACAUCAGCAUGGCAUCAGGAGUGAUAGGGAGACUGGGGAGGGGCUGGUACUGCACACUGGCUUUCCUGUUAUAGUAUUGAUUACUGUACAGUUAGGAGUCUACCUAAAAUCUUCUAACUUUAACUGAAUAGUCAAAAAUAUUCAGAUUGGGGAACAUCUGUGUGCUACAAAAGCUUAUAUGCUGUUACAAGUUACUAGAAUGAACAGGUGAAUUAAUCUAAUUUUCAGGUUUAACACCAAGAACAUAAAAAUCAAUUGGCUCUAUGGUAGUAUUAAUAAAAAGAAAACUUAUGAAAUUGUAAGUAAACUCCCAUUAAAAUAGUCUCAAAAGGAAGAAAGUACUUACUAAUAAAUUUACCAAAAGAACUGUAAAUUUUAUGUGCUGUGGAACUGAACAUUACUGAAAGAUAUUAGGUCAACUCAUCACUUGUUCGUAUUUUAAAAUAUUAAAUUUUUUUAUGAUGGCAAUUCUCUCAAACCAUCUUCUGUCAAAAUCCCAAGUAAUUUCUUAGAAGAGUUUGACAUGCUGUUCCUAAAAUUUAUACCUAUACCAAGAGUUGUGUGUGAUACAGCCCCCCCCCCCAAAUCUUGAAAUAGACUCCCACUUCCUGAUUUACCAACCACUACUAAUGAAUACAUUAUGAUAUUGGCAUCAUGAUAGAAGCUCUGACAAGUGGCUUAAUUUGCAAGUCCAGAAAUAAGUUGUCCUACUUACGGCAAACUUAGUUUUGACAAAAGUUUUAUAUUAUUUACUGUUCUUUUCACUUUGACAAGAUACAUGCCAGAAACAAAGGACUAAGAGUUUGUGCGACUUUUCUGUGGCAACCAUGCAUGCUAGCAGAGCAGGUGCUGUGAAGCAGCUUUGUCUCUGUAGGAGGAACUUACGGCUAACACUUCCCAGAUUUGGGUGAGCAGGCGGCGGUGCCAGGGUAGCCUCUCCCUCAAAGCCUUGGUAUAGCCUGCAUUUUCUAGUCCAGUUCUAUGUAAGAAAGGAUCCCGUCUCCCAAAGCAAUGCCACUAGCUGGGGACAUAGUUUUCAAGCUCCUGAGUCCUUAGGAGACCUGUUAAACCAUUACAGGUACCAUGAGAUAGGAAAAUAGUUUCAGCUACUGUUCCUGGGACAGCUGUCUGUGAAGCUGGAGCCUUAAGUCACCUGUGCAAUUAACUCAAAAUAGACGAAAGACCUAACUCUCCAAAGAUAUUUAGAACAGCUUUAGUUUGG